rnacentral:misc_RNA from 1 species
GAUGAAGAACGUAGCGAAAUGCGAUAAGUAAUGCGAAUUGCAGAAUUCAGUGAGUCAUCGAAUCUUUGAACGCACAUUGCGCCCUGUGGUAUUCCGCAGGGCAUGCCUGUUCGAGCGUCAUUUCAACCCUCAAGCCCCGCUUGGUGUUGGGCCCCGCCCGCCGUGGCCGGCCCUAAAGACAGUGGCGGCGCCGCCUGGCCCUCAGCGUAGUACAGCUCUCGCUCCAGGGUCCGGCGGCCGCCUGCCAGAACCCCCCAACUCUGUGGUUGACCUCGGAUCAGGUAGGGAUACCCGCUGAACUUAAGCAUAUCAAUAAGCGGGAGGA